rnacentral:rRNA from 1 species
GACGAACGCUGGCGGCGUGCUUAACACAUGCAAGUCGAACGGUGAAGCGCCUUCCUUUUUGGUGGGUGUGGAUGAGUGGCGAACGGGUGAGUAACACGUGAGUAACCUGCCCCCUUCUUCUGGAUAACCGCAUGAAAGUGUGGCUAAUACGGGAUAUUCUGGGUCUGUCGCAUGAUGGGUCUGGGAAAGAUAUUGUUUCGGUGGGGGAUGGGCUCGCGGCCUAUCAGCUUGUUGGUGGGGUGAUGGCCUACCAAGGCGGUGACGGGUAGCCGGCCUGAGAGGGUGGACGGUCACACUGGGACUGAGACACGGCCCAGACUCCUACGGGAGGCAGCAGUGGGGAAUAUUGCACAAUGGGCGCAAGCCUGAUGCAGCGACGCCGCGUGAGGGAUGGAGGCCUUCGGGUUGUGAACCUCUUUCGCCAGUGAAGCAGGGCUGCCUCGUUUGUGGGUGGGUUGACGGUGGCUGGAUAAGAAGCGCCGGCUAACUACGUG